CCUACGGGGGGCUGCAGUGGGGAAUAUUGCACAAUGGAGGAAACUCUGAUGCAGCGACGUCGCGUGAGUGAUGAAGGUCUUCGGAUCGUAAAACUCUGUCCUAAGGGACGAUAAUGACGGUACCUUAGGAGGAAGCCCCGGCUAACUACGUGCCAGCAGCCGCGGUAAUACGUAGGGGGCGAGCGUUGUCCGGAUUUAUUGGGCGUAAAGGGUGCGUAGGCGGCCUUGUAAGUCAGAUGUGAAAGAUCAUGGCUUAACUGUGGUAAGCAUUUGAAACUGCAGGGCUUGAGUACAGGAGAGGAGAGUGGAAUUCCUAGUGUAGCGGUGAAAUGCGUAGAUAUUAGGAGGAAUACCAGUGGCGAAGGCGACUCUCUGGACUGAUACUGACGCUGAGGCACGAAAGCGUGGGGAGCAAACAGGCUUAGAUACCCUUGUAGUC
rnacentral:rRNA from 1 species